UUGCUUCCUAUGGAAUCGAGUGGCAAACGGGUGAGUAACGCGUAAACAACCUGCCCUUCGGAUGGGGAUAACAGCCGGAAACGGCUGCUAAUACCGAAUACGAUCUUUUCGUCGCAUGACGAAAAGAAGAAAGGAUGGCCUCUGUACAAAGCUAUCGCCGAAGGAGGGGUUUGCGUCUGAUUAGCUGGUUGGAGGGGUAACGGCCCAACAAGGCGAUGAUCAGUAGCCGGUCUGAGAGGAUGAACGGCCACAUUGGGACUGAGACACGGCCCAGACUCCUACGGGAGGCAGCAGUGGGGAAUCUUCCGCAAUGGACGAAAGUCUGACGGAGCAACGCCGCGUGAGUGAAGAAGGUCUUCGGAUUGUAAAGCUCUGUUAUACGGGACGAAAAAGACGGAUGCCAACAGUAUCCGUCCGUGACGGUACCGUAAGAGAAAGCCACGGCUAACUACGUGCCAGCAGCCGCGGUAAUACGUAGGUGGCAAGCGUUGUCCGGAAUUAUUGGGCGUAAAGGGCGCGCAGGCGGUUCGGUAAGUCUGUCUUACAAGUGCGGGGCUUAACCCCGUGAGGGGACGGAAACNNNCGAACUUGAGUGUCGGAGAGGAAAGCGGAAUUCCUAGUGUAGCGGUGAAAUGCGUAGAUAUUAGGAGGAACACCGGUGGCGAAAGCGGCUUUCUGGA
rnacentral:rRNA from 1 species